AUUUUUUUGGAAAACAAAAUUAAUGCUAGUGGCAUUGGGUUGUAAAUAAGGUCAAUUCUAAGAUUUAUUUGUUAAAAUGGCUGCAAAAAUGUAUAUAUAGAUUCUAAUCAUAUCAUUUUGAAGUAGGGGGAAUGUACAACAUAGAUUUAGUUCUUUAUGUGUU
rnacentral:sRNA from 1 species